rnacentral:rRNA from 1 species
GACGAACGCUGGCGGCGUGCUUAACACAUGCAAGUCGAACGUAAAUGCCCUGCUUUUGUGGGGUGCUCGAGUGUCGAACGGGUGAGUAACACGUGAGUAACCUGCCCUUGACUUUGGGAUAACUUCAGGUAACUGGGGCUAAUACCUGAUAGGAGCUCCUGCUGCAUGGUGUGGGUUGGAUAGUCUGGGCGGUUGGGGAUGGACUCGCGGCUUAUCAGCUUGUUGGUGGGGGAGUGGCUUACCACGACUUCCACGGGUAGCCGGACUGAAAGGGUUACCGGCAGCAUUAGGACUGAGAUACGGCCCAGAAUGGUACGGGGGGCAGAAGUGGGGAAUAUUGGACAAUGAACGGAAGCCAGAUGAAGCAGCGAAGGGUGAGGGAUAAAGGCAAUCGGGUUAUAAACCGCUUUAGACAGUAAAGAAAGGUGAGUGACGGUAAUAGGUAAAGGAGGGCCGGCUAACUAAGUG